GCUGUUUGGAUACGAGGUGCUAAACUUUAACAGUGUCACAUCGGAUGUUCGGAUGCUAGUUAGGAGGACUAAACAUGAGCUAAUUAUAAAACUAAUUGCAGAACCUUGUGCUAAUUCGCGAGACGAAUCUAUUAAGCCUAAUUAAUCCACCAUUAGCAAAUGGUUACUGUAGCACCACAUUGUCAAAUCAUGGACUAAUUAGGCUUAAUAGAUUCGUCUCGCGAAUUAUACUCCAUCUGUGCAAUUAGUUUUGUAAUUAGCUUAUGUUUAGUACUCCUAAUUAGCAUCCAAACAUCCGAUGUGACAGGUGUUAAACUGUAACAAGUGUUUCCCAAACACCCC
rnacentral:lncRNA from 1 species